CGUUUUCAUUUCAGCGAAUGCAAUUUCAAAUCCAGACUCCGAACUGGCAAUGAUUUAUCAAUUUCACUGUCGAAGCAGUGAUUUCACUGUUAGAUCGUUUCUUCUAUUUAAAAAUCAACAACAUUUAUCUUUUUUCUCUUUCGAUUGCAAAAUGUAUUUCUUUUAUUGCUUUUCAAGUGAUUCGGAGCAUCGCAGGAUUUUUCUUACAUCAGUCCCUUAGAUGAUUUAUUUGCGUUUCAAAUCUGGUACAUAUUAAACUUAAUAUCUUAAUGGUGUCAGAUUAAAGGCUCUACAACGAAGCUAUCAUGAUUUAAUAUUGAUUUCUUUUUAAAGGAAAAACGAUAUGAUCUGCUUUAAUUCCAUUUACAUCUAGGAUGCUUAAAUGGAAUAUUAAAUCGACCCACUUCUCGGCUCGUACUUUGUUUUAUCGACCACGGAAGGAGGAACGGCAAAGUUGAUAUUGGAGAGGCUUGAACUUCGAAGACAGGCAUUUUGCCCGAUGUUCUACCGAUUCUAUUGAUCCAUUACAUAUAGAGCAUUUUUUUUUCUUUAUUUAAAAUAUUUGAGCGGUUCGGUGAAAGAAACCGAUAGAAUAAGUACCAGGUUUUUUUUAAUGUACUGGAGGUGAUUCGUUCGACUAAAACCCUUCAACGCGGUGCCCCAACAUGGUCGCACUCCAAUGAAUGAAACAAAUAUAAGAUAAAAGAUAAUGACUGAGACAUUCGAGGCUAAGGCCAUGGCCCUUUUCCAAAACUCCAGAAGAGAACAACUUCAGACUGGAGAUCAGUCUCAAAUUCUUGCAACAAAGAAGACCACUAAAAAACAUUGAAGAUGGUGGCGUUUAUUCAGUUGACGAAGUAUAAGGUCAGUAAUUCUGAGGGAAGAGGUCAGUUGAAACCAUCGAACCCAGUAAUUGACUGAUACUUCAUGUUAUCAAAACCGGGAGGAUGAAAAAGGAAGCUGACCGCAGCGGAAUUUCAACUCAACGUCUGAAGAGCCAAAAGGAAUACUGCAAGUACUAAAACAAAAAACAACAAAAAAAACUAGUCUCUUAACGCGCUAACCAUUCUGCAUUUCAAUGAUUGAUACAACGCAAUAAACAGCUUUUCGUUUCAAAACACACAACUAUUUAGUCUCACUCACUGACUUAAUAGUUCUGUUCCGUAAACAUUAGAAACCUGAACUCUCGAACCCUGACCACUUUUAGACCAUGAGUCAUAAACCUCGUCUUUGAACACACACACAUAGAUAUUAUAUAUACAGAUAUAUUAUCUCUCUCUCUCUAUAUAUAUAUAUAUAGAGAGAGAGAGGGGGGGAGAGCAAUAUUAUAAGAGUAGGCCGAUUUAUAGGAUUACCUUUGGUGGCGAAAAUAAAAAAUACGUACACCCGGUGCUUAGGGUUAGGGUUUAGUUAGGGGUUAGGGUUUUUGUUACGCCGUAAACGGAUGAUGUACGUAUUCUUUACCUCCGCCCUCUUAGUUUCACGUCCACGAAGCGCUUAGCUUUACGGCGCAUCAUCAUAUUCCAAAACCUGUUGGCUUAAGGCCUCUCUACAAAAUUCUAGAGAGGUCUUAAACUAACAGGUUUUGGGAUUUGAUGGUACGCCGUAAAGCUAAGCGCUUUAUGGACGUAAAGCCAAAGGUAAUCUCAAAAACCGGCCGAUUAUAACUUUUAUAUUAAAAUAAAUAAAUAAAAUUUUGCAGCAUUCAUUUAUUGUGAAAGGAUCCCUUCCAUGGGAUCCCAAAACAGUCAUGAUUCGUCUUGUAAAAUUUCCUCCAGAGGCUCUACACUUGUUUCUCUUCUUGUAAACCCAUAUUUGGUUUUAAUGCCACUCCAUAAUCACAAGCAAAGCACCAGAAUACACGAUCCUUUCUCCACAGAACAUUAGUUAAUCCUCUGGAAUUCCUUGCCAAUGUCUCCCCCACCACUCCGUAUAGCUUAUUAGCUGCACCAGUUUCACCGGUGUUGGACGUCUCUGCAAAACUAUGAAAACACCCCUUCCACCAGAUAAAACCUUGAUUUAAAAAUAAAAGACGCUACGACAAUUAAA